UCAGAAGAGGACAUUAGACCAGAAGCAAUAUUAGAUGUAAUCAAGUCUCUCAGAAAUGGUACAUUUCCAGGUCCAGAUGGGUUCCCACCAGACUUUUACAGAUUUUUUUUAGACCAGACUCUUAAUACAUUGAGAGAAGUACAUAUUGUAGUAAUCCCAAAACCAAGUAAGGUUAUGAUAAGAUCUUCAUACACACCUAGAUCUUUAUUAAGCCAAAACACAAUGAAUUUUGCAUCAGUCUUACCAAGUAGCUUAAAAAAAUACUCCCUAAAUAUAUUGCCAUAGACCAAACCACAUUCAUAAUGAAUAAGCAUUCAUGGAGUAUUAGAUCUGAUUUUUCAUGAAGAAUCAAGUAAUGAACCUCAAUAUAUUUUAUUAUUGGAUGGUGAAAAAGAAAAGAACUAGAUGCUUUUGGAAAAGGACCAACAUUUCAAAACUGGAUGUCAACUCUAUUUUAAGCCAUCAGCUGCAAGAGGAGAUGGACGCAUCUCAGAAAAAAAUUCACCUUACAUUGAGAAUGCCCAUUAUCUCUUCCUCCCCCUCCACGUUUUUUUGCUAUGGUAAUGGAAACAUUUGCAGUCAAUGUCAAUGGCCUUAGCCACAGCCCAGCCAGACAGAAGCAGCAGCAGCAGCUGCAGCUUUGGCUCUGGGUCUGUAGCAAAAGCCAAAGCUGAGUCUCCAUGUGCCCCAGUCUGGCACUCAAAUCUAAGAUGAAUCUGCUACCCCAUGUUUCCCCCUUAUCUUAGAUUCAAGUAAAUAUGCUGUUGAAGUCAGCAGGCACAGCUGAAUCAGAGAAACAGGGCUGGAAGAGACACUUGGAGGCCAUCUAAUCCAGCGCCUUGCUUACAGCAAGAUAAGUCCUGUCUAAACCAUCCCAGGUCAGUGUUUGUCUAAGCUGAAGAUAAAACCUUCCAGUGAUGGAGAUUUCACAGUCUCCCUGGGCAAUCUGUUCCAGUGCCUAACCACCCUCAAGGUUCUUCCUAAUAGUCAAACUAAAUCCAUUGCAUUCUGAAAUUCACAUUCAAUUCUCCAAUUUCACCUUUUCACACAGUUCUGAGGUUCUUGCAUAAAUAUAGUCUUCUGUAUCAGACCUGUUGAAAAAAGAAAAGUAUCUGCUAGGAGUAGCGACAUGCAGAAUGAUUGCGAGAAAGCCAACUGCAGUUAUGUAAAUAAUGUACCAACAGCUGGACAGUAUUAAGACUUCCCCCAUUGAGGUUUAAGGGCUCUUGCACUUUUCUGUAGUGGAAUUGCUGAAUGUUCCCCAGUUAGCAUUUUAAAAGAAAUAGAAUACCAGAGGAAACUACCUUCACAACACUAUGCCAGAAAAUGAUGCCAAAGCCAUGAUAAAGUCUCUCUCAAUGUGAGCACAUGGGUAAUCCAGGUUGAAAUCCUUCACUACCCCAAGAUCUUCCGCUGACCUACUGGGAUGAGUUCCCUUGGGUCAUUGUUGGAAGCUGUAGAUAAGUAAAAUGUUAAACAUCUAUGGAAAUUAGACCUCUUUUAUUUGUGUCUAAAUACAUCACUAGGGAAAAUGUUGUGUAUGCUCAUUACCUACAAUUUUCUCUAAUCAGUUACUAUGUACUAGUUUCCAAGAUGGAUACAGGCUUGGAGGCAGCAGUCCUAACAAAUUCUUGCUGUCCAGCUGCAUUGGUUUCCUUACUGCCUCCACUACAACUGGCUCCCCACUACCACUUUUUCCCUUUUAGCAGAAGGGUGGGAGACACAAGGAAGGAUGCAGAGGAGAAAGGAAAGAAGAAGACAGGCAGUAGAGAGGAAAGAACCAAGAGAAAGAGGAGCUGGAGAAGGCAGCAGUGUGAGGGGGCUCAGUCUCCUGUAUUUGGCCAGACUCCAGGGGCAACACUUUAGGAAAGCCCCAAUUUAGUGGAUUCUACAGAAGGGAAGUCAAUACCAGCACUUUGGGCCCAUUUAUUUGCAUCUAAAGGCAGCUUUUCCCCUAAUAUUCUUUUUUCCUUCCCCACCUUGCUGUGUGUCUACUGGCAAGCCCAUUAUCCUUUUGUCUUUUGGACUAAUUACUAGAGUAAGAUUUUUGCCAGCUGGCACAGUUCUGUUACCACUCUGGUGCUAGCUGCUGGUUUGCUUAGAGCUGAAGCUUCUUCAUAUAUAAGAAUUUCAGCUUCAUUUUUUAAAAGAGAACACCUGGCCUUUGUGAUUAGUGAGAAACACUAGAAAAUGUGAACACUGGUGACUCAACAGCUGAGAGGCAAAAUAAAAUCAACACAAUACAUAUUUUUAAUCUCCCAAUGUUAAUGUGUAUGUUAUUUUUGCAGGGGUUUGAUCUUAAUUUCAUAAUUUCCCAUAGACCAGGAAUUCCAGUUUCUAUCAAGCUCUAUUAAUUACAUAGUUACCAUGACCUGCUACAUGGGUUACAGCAGGAGUGCUCAACCUCUGGUCCAUGGGCCAAAUGGGCCCCUGGAGCCUUGGAAUCCAGCCCAUGGGGCUCCCAACAGGUCAGGAAAUUUGGUGGUGGGGGAGCAGUGGCACUACUGUCACCCUUCUCCACUGCUAGAAUCCCAAGCCCCAUAGGCCAGUUCAGAGCCAGACCAUACCCACUUCCUUCCAGGCAGCUAGGUUGGGGCAAGGCUGUGCCCCCCCUUCUUCCUAUGGAGCCAGGCCAUCCCUCUCCCUAUACAUGGCUGGUUCAAGACUGGACUAUGCCCUUCUCACCCAGCUCUCUGCCCAUAAGGCCAGACCACACCCCCUUCCUGGCCAAGAUGGGGCUGAGCCACGAUCCCUUCCCCCCUGCAGGGCUGGAUCAAGACCAUGUUCUGCCCUGCUGGGGCCAGGUUGGGGGCUCGCCCAAAGCCCCUUUCACUGCAUGUUUGGAUUGGAUUUAGGCUGCCCCCCUCCUCCCUCUGCACAGCUGGCCCCACAGGAUCUCGCCAAAAGAGGGAUCUAGCACAACUGGGUAAGAGGUAACGAUGUUAGUUAAUAGCCAUGAAAACUGAUAAAUUAUUUGAUUACAACUAUGCAGCUAUUUUUCACCAAAGUACCUAGGAGCCAAGGCUGCUUAAUUAUUAGAACACCUUGUCUGCGUGUUGAGCUAUUCAUUAUCCUUUGGCACUAUGCAGGAAAAAAAAACAGACUGAGGUUUGUGUAAGUAAUAUGAAAAUAACGCUGAUACCCUUUCCUUGGUCAUGUAAAGACUGGAAACCAAUGUGUGACUGGCUUUGUAACAGUGCAAAGAAGUUCUGAACCAGAGCGAAUGCGGUGGGAUUUUCUAGUAGUAGGAUCAUGUGUCAUGUAUAAUUCUUCAUUAUUUCCUUUCUUUACCACGUUAGGCUUUGAAUUCUGGGCAACUAAUCAAAUGGGAUGAAUUCAUCAUUUUUUUUUCUGUUGAGCUCUGGAAAUCACCAUCCUGGCUAUAGAUUACUGAGCUAUUAAUAGUUGAGAGGAAAAACUUAUUUUGUGAUGCAAAAGGUCAUUUUCAAGAACUAUCCCCAGGGCUGCAGUUUGUUCACAUACUGGAUCAGUAAAAGCCUGUGUUGUUUACGUGCUUCAGGUAUUAAAAUGUUCAGAAUGUGUUAUCUCUUCCUCUUCCAGGUUUUCUCUGCUUCUCUCUCUCUCCGCUUUGUCUUCCUCCUUUCUUUGGAAGGUUUAUAUGCCUGUAUGGCAGCAAGUUCCUGGUUUUCCACAGAGCAUUUUUGAAGCAGGAAGCAAACUGGCCAAAGUGGACCAUUGUAACAUGAACUAAACUAAUGUAGCUGACGUUAACAUAGAGUGUAAUAACAGUGAAAUAUAACCAUGUUAGUCUUGUCCUGUAAGCAACUUGAAAACUCCAUUUUGUAUCCUUCUGCUUGACAUAAGUGAAUGAACUCUGCAUUGCCUGUAUGUAUGUAUGCGUGUGUGUAAAAGGGUGAAUGGUGAGAGAAUGGCAUAGAGACGGAAGAAGAUUCAACUGUUUAAGUAAGCAACAAGGCGCCAAAUGUAAGUUACCAAUCACUAACUAACAAACGGCUGAAGAAUCCCUUUGAAGCUCCAAGGCACAAAGGAGAUAACAGAAGAAAUUCUGUGAGAUGGGCAACAAACACACUCCAAGGCUGAAGACAGAAGAAGAACAACCGCAAAAACAGAAGCUGGGUAUGGAAAAACCCCAAAGCACUGAAACAAAGGAUGCCAAUCCCUAUAAAAGAACACUUUGAAAAUGCCAAGUUGGGUGAGUCUUUUUCUCUCCUGCUGUUUCACUGGAGCACAGAUGCAUCUGUUCACCCCGCUCCAGCUGUUAUCUUUAAAUCUGCUAUCUUCAAAUCAACAUCAUCUACUCAAUAAUCCUGGGUUGGCCACCCUGGGCUGAUCUUGAGCAACUAUUGCUGGUAACUAUAUCUGGUGUGUGUGGCUGAAAUGGUUGUUUUGUGUAUGUGUAUGCCUGUGUGUAAUGAUGUGUAUGAUGAUUUGUGUGUGUUUGUAUGAACGGUGUGCCUGAACCUCUAUGUCUAACUCAUGUAAUCAGUAAACGCAGCACCUUGCCUUAUCCCCCUUUAUAAAGUCUCGCUUGUGGUUUGAGCAAUUGGCAAUUGUGUAACACCAUUGGGGUCCCUUGAUUUUUAGUUAGAUGACCAUACACCACUGUUUUGCUGGUCAGGUUUGUUUGAUUCUAGUAUUGCUGAUCUAGGAAGGCUGGAUGGAGGUGUUCACAGAGCUCACCAACCCCAGGCCAACAGAGGGUAUGGAGAGAAUGGCAGCGUCACUAUUCCUCUUAUGGAAAAUACUGGGGGGAAAAAAGAGGAAUAUAGCAAGGUGGCAAGAGGUGAUUUGGUAAUUUUAAAGAAUGCUUCCUGAUGACUACUUGGUUCCAGGGAAGAUUUGUAAAUCAGGAAGGAACAAAAGUGUUCAUUUUAAUUGGAAACACAGCUCACUUCGCCUGGAAAGCCUUUGAGACAGAAGAAACCCACCAGGUUGUGCGCCAAAGAACUUCAGAAGACCUUAACCCCUGAGUGCUAUGAGAAUGCUGUAUCAGAAGCUGUUUUUCACAUCUAAUUUAAAAUGUGAGUUCUAAUUGGCUUUUUGUCAGCAGACCCAAAAGGUAAGUUAGAGUCAACUGGCAGAGAGUGAACUACCUUGAGGGGCUGGACCCACCAGUGCCAAUUGGAGACUCACUCUACAGCUCCCAGGCUGGUACCUUCAAAAGCUAAAAUACAUUUCUGAAUUACUUAUUCUGAAUACAUGUUCAAAAGGCCACAUCUUCACCAUGGUUAGGAAGGCAUUUCACUCUCCUAUUACCUACUACAUGCUCAAGAUAUGACCAGUUUACUUAGAGGGGGAGGGAGGCAAGGAGGAGGGGAAAGAGCAA